rnacentral:rRNA from 1 species
AUUGAACGCUGGCGGCAUGCUUUACACAUGCAAGUCGAACGGUAACAGGCCGCAAGGUGCUGACGAGUGGCGAACGGGUGAGUAAUGCAUCGGAACGUGCCCAGUCGUGGGGGAUAACGCAGCGAAAGCUGUGCUAAUACCGCAUACGAGCUAUGGAUGAAAGCGGGGGACCGUAAGGCCUAGAGCGCUUGGAGCGGCCGAUGUCAGAUUAGGUAGUUGGUGGGGGAAAGGCCUACCAAGCCGACGAUCUGUAGCUGGUCUGAGAGGACGACCAGCCACACUGGGACUGAGACACGGCCCAGACUCCUACGGGAGGCAGCAGUGGGGAAUUUUGGACAAUGGGCGCAAGCCUGAUCCAGCAAUGCCGCGUGCAGGAAGAAGGCCUUCGGGUUGUAAACUGCUUUUGUACGGAACGAAACGGUCUGGGUUAAUACCCCGGGCUAAUGACGGUACCGUAAGAAUAAGCACCGGUUAACUACGUGCCAGCCGCCGCCGUAACAC